rnacentral:lncRNA from 1 species
GGAAAGACAGACACGGUUGGAAAAAAAUGGCAAGAAAGAGGGAAGAGAAGGAAGAGAGAGGGAAGAGAGGAAAUAAAUUGUGACUAGUGUAUUGGUGACCUCUACACAUCAUUCAGGAAUAAACCCGCUUUGCGUCACCAUGUGGUACAAAUCUGUAUUUUGGCCUUUGAAGUUAUGUUUUCCAAUUCCAUUAAUCUCUUCGUCUCUCACACUCCCACUCAUGGAUUUGAAAGCAUUGGAUUGAGAACCUGAGCCCUAGGAUCAUCCACCUGGUUGUGCUGCUGCUCCUGUUCUGCCUGCCGCUAGGGAACUCUGACCUGUUCACUGGACGUGCUACCUUGUCCUGGACCUGCUGUUUUUGACUCUCUUUCUCUCUACCACACCUGCUAUCUUGACCUCUGAAUGCUCGGCUAUGAAAAGCCAACUGACAUUUAUUCCAGAGGUACUGACCUGUUGCAUCCUAUACAACCACUGUGAUUAUUAUUUGACCCUGUUGGUCAUCUAGGAACAUUUGAACAUCUUGAAGAACAAUCUGACCUUAAAUGGCCAUUUAGUCUUUUAAUCUCCACCAGGCACAGCCAGAAGAGGACUGUCCACCCCUCAUAGCCUGGUUCCUCUCUAGGUUUCUUCCUAGGUUCCAGCCUUUCUAGGGAGUUUUUCCUAGCCAUUGUGCUUCUACAUCUGCAUUGCUUGCUGUUUGGUUAAGUUUCUGUAUAACACUUUGUGACAUCUGCUGAUGUAAAAAGGGCUUUAUGAAUACAUUUGAUUGAUUGAGUAGGGAAGGAGGAGGAGGAGUCGUCCACAGGGUGAGAAGGCUGCGGAGCAUGGAGAACAGUGGUUGAAGUGGUUCUUGUACCGCCGCACACACCAAUGGAGCGAAAACAGAGGGGGAGAAAACUACUACUGCUGCUCCAUUUGAAAGGGCAAUAGUGACAUUACAUGAUUCUGCUUGACUCUGCUGUGCAAACAUCAGCCUUAGUACUGGUAUCCACACAUGUUGGGUGGUUGUGUGUGUGGGAUUAACCAGGAUGCCAAAUAUUUCCACUAGCUGCAAAAAUGCCUAGUUUUGCAGACACACACACACACACACACACACACACACACACACACACACACACACACACACAC